rnacentral:tRNA from 1 species
GCCUGGCUGGUUCAGUUGGUAAAGCACAUGACUCUUGAUCUCGGGGUCGUGAGUUUGAGCCCCACGCUGGGCG